rnacentral:tRNA from 1 species
CAAGUUAAAUUUUAAGAAAUAUGGAUUAUUUACAAUAAUCUCAUCGGUUUGUGCAAUUCAACCUAACUUGA